rnacentral:piRNA from 1 species
UUGGACAGUUAGAAUCUGCUGCAGUGUGGA